rnacentral:rRNA from 1 species
AUUGAACGCUGGCGGCAGGCCUAACACAUGCAAGUCGAGCGAGCGGCGGACGGGUGUGAAAUGUCUGGGAAACUGCCUGAUGGAGGGGGAUAACUACUGGAAACUGUAUCUAAUACCGCAUACCAUCAGAUGUGCCCAUAUGGGAGUAGCUAGUAGGGGGGGUAAUGGCUCACCUAGGCGACUAUCCCUAGCUGGUCUGAGAGGAUGACCAGCCACACUGGAACUGAGACACGGUCCAGACUCCUACGGGAGGCAGCAGUGGGGAAUAUUGCACAAUGGGCGCAAGCCUGAUGCAGCCAUGCCGCGUGUGUGAAGAAGGCCUUCGGGUUGUAAAGCACUUUCAGCGAGGAGGCGUUACUCGCAGAAGAAGCACCGGCUAACUCCGUGCCAGCAGCCGCGGUAAUUC